AGAGUGAACGCUGGCGGUAGGCCUAACACAUGCAAGUCGAACGGCAGCACGGUAAGAGCUUGCUCUUAUGGGUGGCGAGUGGCGGACGGGUGAGGAAUACAUCGGAAUCUACCUUUUGGUGGGGGAUAACGUAGGGAAACUUACGCUAAUACCGCAUACGCCCUUCGGGGGAAAGCCGGGGACCAGCAAUGGCCUGGCGCUGAUAGAUGAGCCGAUGUCGGAUUAGCUAGUUGGUGAGGUAAUGGCUCACCAAGGCGACGAUCCGUAGCUGGUCUGAGAGGAUGAUCAGCC
rnacentral:rRNA from 1 species